CAGCAGCCACGGGAAUACGUAGGUGGCGAGCGUUGUCCGGAAUUAUUGGGCGUAAAGGGAGCGCAGGCGGACAUAUAAGUCCAUCUUAAAAGUGCGGGGCUCAACCCCGUGAGGGGAUGGAAACUGUAUGCCUUGAGUGCAGGAGAGGAAAGCGGAAUUCCCAGUGUAGCGGUGAAAUGCGUAGAUAUUGGGAGGAACACCAGUGGCGAAGGCGGCUUUCUGGACUGCAACUGACGCUGAGGCUCGAAAGCCAGGGGAGCGAACGGGAUUAGAGACCCCCGUAGUCCCUGUCUCUUAUACA
rnacentral:rRNA from 1 species